rnacentral:lncRNA from 1 species
AUCUUGUUGCUCAAAUUAUGACAUCACUCCCACUGGCCUUGUUGUAACUUUAGCAUUCAUUCAAAAUUAACAAUUAUAUUUUCUUGAUUUGAAUGCAUAUUGCUCCCACUAAUUUAAAUGAAUCAUACAUAAAAGAAUUCAUUCUCAAGCAAUUCCAUGAAAUGUGUGACUUGCUUUAUCAAAUCUAUUCAUUUAAAUUAUAUGGUGUCAUACACCAUACUUUAAGUUUUAGUCAUACUAAGACCUUUAAUGUAGUCAUAUAAGAAUUAUCUAAGUCUUUAGUGGAAGCAUGGCUCCUACUAAGGAUAUAAAAACUCAAUCAUUCCUUCUAGGUGGUUGAUAUAAUUCUUUAUCAAAACUAAAUAGAGCAAUAUCGUUACAUGAGAUGUUGAAUUUGGAUUGUCUUGUUGUUAAACCAUAUGUUG